CCUACGGGUGGCAGCAGUGGGGAAUAUUGCACAAUGGGCGCAAGCCUGAUGCAGCCAUGCCGCGUGUGUGAAGAAGGCCUUCGGGUUGUAAAGCACUUUCAGCGGGGAGGAAGGCGGUGAGGUUAAUAACCUCAUCGAUUGACGUUACCCGCAGAAGAAGCACCGGCUAACUCCGUGCCAGCAGCCGCGGUAAUAGGGAGGGUGCAAGCGUUAAUCGGAAUUACUGGGCGUAAAGCGCACGCAGGCGGUCUGUCAAGUCGGAUGUGAAAUCCCCGGGCUCAACCUGGGAACUGCAUUCGAAACUGGCAGGCUAGAGUCUUGUAGAGGGGGGUAGAAUUCCAGGUGUAGCGGUGAAAUGCGUAGAGAUCUGGAGGAAUACCGGUGGCGAAGGCGGCCCCCUGGACAAAGACUGACGCUCAGGUGCGAAAGCGUGGGGAGCAAACAGGAUUAGAUACCCUAGUAGUC
rnacentral:rRNA from 1 species